UUUUUAGUAUAAAUAUGUCUCAUGCAAUAAAUGAGAUAUACUUAUACUAAAC
rnacentral:pre_miRNA from 1 species